CCAGCACGUUAUGUGGGCGACUCUAAGGAGACUGCCGGUGACAACCGGAGGAAGGUGGGGAUGACGUCAAGUCAUCAUGGCCCUUACGGCCUGGGCUACACACGUGCUACAAUGGUCGGUACAAAGGGUUGCCAAGCCGCGAGGUGGAGCUAAUCCCAUAAAACCGAUCGUAGUCCGGAUCGCAGUCUGCAACUCGACUGCGUGAAGUCGGAAUCGCUAGUAAUCGUGAAUCAGAAUGUCACGGUGAAUACGUUCCCGGGCCUU
rnacentral:rRNA from 1 species